rnacentral:rRNA from 1 species
UACGAAGGGUGCAAACGUUGCUCGGAAUCAUUGGGCGUAAAGCGCACGUAGGCGGCGCAGUAAGUCGGACGUGAAAUCCCUCGGCUCAACCGAGGACGUGCAUCCGAAACUACUGCGCUCGAGUAUGGAAGAGGGUCGCGGAAUUCUCGGUGUAGAGGUGAAAUUCGUAGAUAUCGGGAGGAACACCAGUGGCGAAGGCGGCGACCUGGGCCAAUACUGACGCUGAGGUGCGAAAGCGUGGGGAGCAAACAGG